CAGAGUUGCAAAACUCCCAACCAUUGUGAACGAAUCCGUUACGGUUGCUUCGGCGGUCGGUUUUCUGUAACUGCCCGCCGACAGCAUAUAAACUCUUGAUUAUAGUAUACCUCUGAGUAAUUUAUUUAAUAAGUUA
rnacentral:misc_RNA from 1 species